rnacentral:misc_RNA from 1 species
UAAAUAACAAUCGGUAUGUUGCUUUUGUGACAUCUCGGAGUUGGGUCAUCUUAAUUUUCUUAAGGGAUCUAAAAUUAAAGUACUUGCGUAUUUCGACGUGUAUAAUUUUUUUUUAUCUCGUCACCGAAUGCCAUGUUUUAUUAGGUGUGACCAUGUUAAGUGGUUUCAUGCUUAUAGGAUACUCUUGAUU